AUUGAACGCUGGCGGCAUGCUUUACACAUGCAAGUCGAACGGCAGCGCGGGCUUCGGCCUGGCGGCGAGUGGCGAACGGGUGAGUAAUACAUCGGAACGUGCCCAGUAGUGGGGGAUAGCUCGGCGAAAGCCGGAUUAAUACCGCAUACGACCUGAGGGUGAAAGCGGGGGAUCUUCGGACCUCGCGCUAUUGGAGCGGCCGAUGGCAGAUUAGCUAGUUGGUGGGGUAAAGGCCUACCAAGGCGACGAUCUGUAGCUGGUCUGAGAGGACGACCAGCCACACUGGAACUGAGACACGGCCCAGACUCCUACGGGAGGCAGCAGUGGGGAAUUUUGGACAAUGGGCGAAAGCCUGAUCCAGCAAUGCCGCGUGUGUGCUGAAGGCCUUCGGGUUGUAAAGCACUUUUGGCGGGAACGAAAAGGACUGUGCCAAUACCACGGUUCGAUGACGGUACCCGCAGAAUAAGCACCGGCUAACUACGUG
rnacentral:rRNA from 1 species